AAAAACAGGACAUAAAAUCACAAAACAGAUGAAAUGGAAGAAUUAUGUGUUGUAGGCAGUCCUGAACAGGUGUGGAAAAACCAAUCAGAAU